rnacentral:rRNA from 1 species
UGGGGAAUAUUGCGCAAUGGGCGAAAGCCUGACGCAGCGACGCCGCGUGAGGGAUGAAGGUUUUCGGAUCGUAAACCUCUGUCAGAAGGGAAGAAACCGCACUGUGCUAAUCAGCAGUGCCUUGACGGUACCUUCAAAGGAAGCACCGGCUAACUCCGUGCCAGCAGCCGCGGUAAUACGGAGGGUGCAAGCGUUAAUCGGAAUUACUGGGCGUAAAGCGCACGUAGGCUGCUUUGUAAGUCAGGGGUGAAAUCCCACGGCUCAACCGUGGAACUGCCGUUGAUACUGCUUAGCUUGAAUCCGGGAGAGGGUGGCGGAAUUCCGGGUGUAGGAGUGAAUUCCGUAGAUAUCUGGAGGAACAUCAGUGGCGAAGGCGGCCACCUGGACCGGUAUUGACGCUGAGGUGCGAAAGCGUGGGGAGCAAACAGG